GAUCAUGGCUCAGGAUGAACGCUAGCUACAGGCUUAACACAUGCAAGUCGAGGGGAAACGACAUCGAAAGCUUGCUUUUGAUGGGCGUCGACCGGCGCACGGGUGAGUAACGCGUAUCCAACCUGCCCACCACUUGGGGAUAACCUUGCGAAAGUAAGACUAAUACCCGAUGAUAUCCCUAGACGACAUCUGAAAGGGAUUAAAGAUUUAUCGGUGAUGGAUGGGGAUGCGUCUGAUUAGCUUGUUGGCGGGGUAACGGCCCACCAAGGCAACGAUCAGUAGGGGUUCUGAGAGGAAGGUCCCCCACAUUGGAACUGAGACACGGUCCAAACUCCUACGGGAGGCAGCAGUGAGGAAUAUUGGUCAAUGGGCGAGAGCCUGAACCAGCCAAGUAGCGUGCAGGACGACGGCCCUAUGGGUUGUAAACUGCUUUUAUAAGGGAAUAAAGUGAGUCUCGUGAGACUUUUUGCAUGUACCUUAUGAAUAAGGACCGGCUAAUUCCGUG
rnacentral:rRNA from 1 species